GGAAAUGUGCCCGAAAGAUAGGGACCCCCUUGAUAGGGGGGAUCAUAGGGGUUCAAACCCCCUCAUUUCC
rnacentral:tRNA from 1 species